UUCUACGGCGACAUAUUUGGAUUCCUUGCAAUUCAUCCUAUCACCGCUUUAGCCUCCCUCCACCAUUUCAACAAGAUACAACCAAUAAUUCCUCAGAAGAGUAGGUUGCGAGUCCUAGAAAAGCUCAGGGCUCCGGCCAAACUAGACCCUGCUGCACUCAUGCAAAAAUCCAUUUGCCAUGCCCAAAACACGAAAUUGGAGUGUAUAUGUAUCUUGGAGCUAUGCAGUUCAGAUAUAUCGGGGCAUCCUUUAUCCACGAGAAAUAUAAAUGAUAGCCAGAAGGCCCAGAACCUUUUUCAUUUGAUACCUAACAGUUAAUCCUGAAGGUUUCACAUUCAGCAACCGACCUUACUACGAGCAUGUAUGUUUCACAUUUGUGACUGGGAAAUAGGCCGUCCUUUACAAAUAGAUCGAGUGGAGGUUCAUAAGAGACCUAAACCUUACCUUACCUGUGGGAUGGGGCUCCUAGAAGAAACUGUUGCAGAACCUUACCCACAGAGAAAAAAUGACACGUUGGAAGUUCAGGUAGCAGAAUGCAGAGAAGAUGAUGAAGUCAUUGAAGUUCGGUGACAGAGAUUGAAGAGCUUGUUUUUUAAUGUGCCUUGUGUAAUUGAUUAAUUUUUUCCAUCAGCAUCUAGCAUUGCAGAUUUUGAUGAUAAAAAACUUGGGGCAGCGAAAGAAAGGGAGUUAGCUCAUUUACGUAGGAUACCAUGAUUCAAUUGUAUAGGUCAGUAUUUAUUUUAUUUUGGAAAACCUCAAAAUUACCUUUUUCUACAAGAGCAAA